GCUCCCCAUCCCACUGUCCUGGACCCAAUUUAGGCGAGCGCAGCCGGGACCCCUCUGUCUGGCGCUACUUCUCCUCGUUACUGCUCUCCACCUUGCUCCCAGCAGCCCCCGCCAGCGCACCCGACCUACAGGAAAGUUGCUCGGGAGCUGUGGAGGGGCGUCAUCGCCUCCUAGCAACGCUCCUAGCAACCGGAUAACAUCUGCUCCCUCUGGUCCAAUGCGAGCCGAGAAGCUCUACGCGCCCGCCUCGCGUUCUGAACCCGGAGUGAGAGGCGCUUCAGAGACUGGAGGGACCGACCUGCAGGAGCCAGGGUUGCCCGCCGAGCUGCAGUUGCCGCUGCUGCCGCUGCCGCGCCGCCGCCGCUGCUGUCGCUGUUGCUGUCAGUGCCGAUCUGAAGCGUGCCAGCGCCGCGAAAGCAUUAGUGAGCUCCGAACCCCGCGCCUUUACGAAACAGGUGCAUGCGCGAUCUCCUGAUCUCAGGUAACCGUUCAUGAGCCCCAGGCUGUGAGAAAUGCUUGCUGUGCAAAGGGGAACUCUCACCAGAUUUUCUGAAGCUGUUCUAGAAAUACACUUUUCAGAUUGAGUCAGCAUUACCAGCUUAUCCAAUAAAAGUACUGACAUAUUCCUUAACAACGUCGAAAGUAGCCUACUUUAAGAGAAAAUAUGCAGAAGAAGAAGAUUUACAUCAAGAUUACCAUGGGUAUUUUCCAAAACACCUGAUAUUACCUGAGGACAGGACUUGCAUUCUCAAACUUUCUCUGGAGAAGCUCAGGUUUCUAGAAGACCCAGAAACCUACUUAAGAAGGUCUGUGUUAAUUAACAAUUUGCUGAGGAAGAUACAUCUAGAGACGGAGAAAGAGAGCUAUGAAUACUUUAAAGAAGCUCCCUGUUAUAAGACUGCUUAUUCAGAUACAAGAAAACGGCUGAAGUUUAUGGUACAGGAAUGCUGUUCUCAGUCUCUCUAUUAUGAAGAGCUGCAUUCAUAUCAUAUUGUGCCUUAUGCUUCGGAGAAUGCCAUUUAUGGAAUGGGCUACACUAGCAGCCACUUGGAGCAAAAUUCUCAGUUGCUUAUUUAUAAAAUGAAUUAAAGUAACUGUUAAGUUCAUCAAUACUUUGUUUCUAAAUGCCUGAACUGUUUAUAGUGAAGAUGUUAAUAUAAGGCACUAAUUACCAGUGCAUUUGAUAUCAAAGAUGAAAUGCAUGCUGAACUGAUUGGAGAGACCCAUGGUUAUUACUCAGCAGUCCUUAGUAUCAUCAAAUUGAAUUGAAAAUAUGUCCACUUAUAAAGUGGUGAAUUUGUGCAUUAGAAGCAAAGAUUUUUUUAAACAAGGUAUGUAGGAAGGGACUUAUAUCAACCUACUAUAUGGAUUAAAACUUUGAAGCCCCCUAGUUCCAAAUUCUGCCACUCUUUAAGACAAGUAACAAAAAGUAACAGAUUAAAUUGAUAAUGUUGUGUCUCUGAGGAUGAGAAGAGGGAAGACUGAUUCUGAAACGCUUUGGUUUGUCAAGCAUGUCCCAAACAAUGAUGCUAUUCUCUUAUUACCAUUAGUGGCAAUUCAAGUUGGGACAAGCAUACUGUGCCACCUAACUGCUGAAAAUAACAACUGGAUUACUCCAAACUGAUCCUUUUUAUUUUAUUUUUUUUUUGUUUGAGUCUUGGUAGACUUUUCUCUUUAAAAGUAAAAUUUAAUUAAAAAAAAAAGCAUUGCUGAUAGGGCUUAUCUUUAGUUUUAGGGGUUGGUUAAAAUUCGUGCUGGACCUUUAAGAGUUAAAAUUUUUAUUCAUGAUGUUAUUUGUUUUUUAUAGGCUGUGAAGCUCAGGAAAAGGGUAGACAGGUAAAAUGUGUUUUUCAUGGGUUGAUAAUUUUGAAAACCUUAUUUGCAGCAACUGAUGAGAACAACAGAAAUUCUACAUGAUGUUAUUUCUUCAUCUUGCUAAGAGUGCAUUUAAGGCUGUCUGGAUGAAACUUUGCACUGCUUUUUGUAUAAUAGUCGAUCAUUCACUAUUUGACAAAAUGUUUCAGAAUGCCUUUGGUGGUGAAGUUUAGAUAAGUCCCUAUAUUUUACAAUUUGAAAGAUCAGUUAUUUAACAAGAUGGAUAGAUUCAUGAAAUUGUUUGAAUUGACUCAUACUAUUCUGUGAGGUUUGGGUGAGAUGUCUGAUUUCAAUGUCUGGGGUUUUUGUCCUGUGGAGCAUACUGUUUCAAGAAUUGUCAUUAAGUGAUUAAGCAGAUUGGAAAAACUAGGUGCCAAAGGUGUAUUUAAGAAAAUACCAAAGACUCAAAGAUGAGUGUCAGGAAGACUAUGAUAACAAAAGGUAAGAAUCUAAGGAUUGUGCAGGACAUAGAGGGACACUGUGAAAGUGUUUCAGGAUGAUUUGCUCCCUAAUGUGCUUCAGAGUACUUUCAACAUAAUAAUGAUAAUCAAGGACACUGCUUCAAGUGAAGGUAUUACAAGCUUUUGGUAAUCAUAUGCCUUUGCAAACUAAAUAUGGUGUCUUGUCAAAAUAGAAUCUUCCUUAGCUGAAGACCAACUGGUAACCCAGACAGCCUUUUUCUAUUCAAGACAAUUUUGUUUUUAGUUUUGAUUCAAUACUUGGUUCCUCUAGUGAAUCAACAAGAUGAUUAACAUGAAUGCAUCUGGUAUAAAUAAUAUGGGUGCCCUAAUUAGCCUGCAUUGUUGAAGACCCCAUAGUCAUAAAAUUGAUACAAGUAUUAACCUUGUAUUUAAUUGCUCAAUCAAAUUAGGAAGGAUGCUUUAGAAGAAAGUGGAAAAUUAUAAUCAUGGUCAGCUUUUUAGUAUGAUGAUGAGAUAGCUUUGAAAUAUAUAAUAAAUACUGAAAAUUUAAGGGAAAAAUUUGGUAUCAAAAUUUAAAUUUUUUAUUUUAUUGCUUAUAAAAUAACUUAUUUCUGAGAAUACUUCUUUUUACAAUGUACAUAUUUUUAAAUGGGGCAUUUCAAGAUUCCAAAUUUGAUGAGAUAAUUAUACUAUAAUAUAAUUUUUAAAAUAGAUUUACCUCUCUAAUACUUUCAAAAUUUUGAACAUUUGGCUUGGUUUAGGUCAGUGUCUCUAAGAGAAAGACACCAAUGUUAGAUGUAGUGUAUAAAAAAGCCACAUAUUGAAAUUAGCUGAGACUAGAAAUACAGUCUUUGGAACAGAGAAGAGAAGGAGAGAAAAAUUAUCAGGAAAGUGUGAAAUUGUAAUACUCAUUGUAUGCCAGAAACCUUAAACAAAGCAAGAACUCUUGGGCAAAGAACCAGUAACAGAUGUUAAGUCUGUUUUAUUUGAUGACAUCAUUAACUGAGCUCUCUGAUCUAUAUUCCUAUGUAGAAAAGGGACUGUCUUAGAAACCAGCAGUAUUUGUGAAUAUGCUUUUCUUUUCUUUUUUUUUUAAAUUGUGUUGAUUUCAAAACAGCUUAUUUAAAAAUACCUUUUGGGGCAUUAAAUUUUUUUUUCUAAUAAACAACUCAUAGAUAAAGAGUUGACUAAUUUUAUCUUGAUUUUUAAAAAUAACGAUUUGUGUUAAACUCUGUAAACUUGUCUGAGUUAACCAAUAGAUUACUGUCACUUUACCAUGACCUGCUAAUCUCUAGGGAGGCCCCCACUACAGGUUUGCUCCAUUAAAGAGAGAUGUACAAGGUAGGAGAUCAGUUACCACUGCUUUGAACCUGGGCAUCCUUUCUCUGGUGAUAAGAGCCUUAGGAUAAGGAAGUUGAGGUGAGAAAGCUGAGUGCAGUGCCCAACUACCCCAAAGACUUGGUAAUAAGAAAAUGGAAAAAAGAGAAGAAAAAUGGAGAGAGAGAGAGAGAGAGAGAGAGAGAGAGAGAGAGAGAGAGAGAGAGAGAGAGAGCAUUUUUUCAUGUGUGUGUGUGGUGGGGGAUUGUUGGCUUGCUAUAUUCAGUUUUUAUUUCCUGUGUCCACUGUAUACCCCAAACACCCACUACCUGCAAUGCAUUGAUCCUUUCUUUCAAUUACCAAUAAUGCGUAAGACUAGAUUCUAUUCAGCAUAGGUACUAUUUGAAGUGUGGUAUUAUUGCAAAAUGCUCCUGAAAUUGGACUCUCUGGGUGCAUAAGCAAAGGAAAACAGAAACAAUUAAGUCUGGAGAAAGACUAAAUGGCGAGCAUAUGUAAAAAUAGAUAAGCUCAAAUGCAUUGCCUAUUUUGAAUGUACAUCCCAAGAUUUAACAAAUUCAGUGCAAGAAGACUUGAAAAUAAAUGCAAUUCGCAACCAAUGAUUGAGCAACUAUUCUGGACCAAGCCAGCGCUGGGGACCCAGAAGUGAAUGAUAGAUAGUCUUUUAGCUCAGUUCACUGAGGGAAGAAUCCAGAUAAUUUGAUUUUGCCUUAUAGGGUAAGAACUCUUUUCUGGGAGCAUCACCUAGAUUUCUUUUCCAAACUGAGGUGGUUUUCAAAUAUGUAUCUCUCAAAGUGUUGGCAGAUGAGAAGAUGCACAGAAGAAGGGAAGUUCUACUGAUCCAGAUUAAGGAGUGGAAGGAGUGUGUAGAUUUGUUUUGCUGUAUAUGUUAUACUUGGAAGCAUAAUAGAAAACCACUCUUGCACAGAGGGAGUAUGGCUGACUGUAGCUCAUCCCUGGGAAUCCCUGUGAGGAUGGAAGGGAGACAAAUACAAAUAUGAAACAAUUCCAUCUCCCUUCACCUCACUAGCUCUCGUGGUCAGUGCCAGUCAGGUUGAUGCUGAUGUCAAGGAAAGCCUUAAAUGAAAAACAGAAUCAUUAAGUCAUAGCCUGAGAGUUGUGUAUGGUGUGUACAAAGUCAGAGACAGCCUUCUCUAAUUGGUCUUGUGCUGGUGAACUGUUGAAUGAACCUCAGGAUUUCUUAACACCAGCUACUGUACUGGAGCCAUCUCCUUUCUGUAUCACUAGCUUCCUCUGUGAAUCACAGCGUGAUCCCCAGUUUUUGGGGUACACUCUGAGUGAAGGUUAAAGUUCUGUCCUUCCCCCCAACCAUGCCCCCUAGUGUUGAUACUGAUUUGGUCAGAGAUUGUUGUAGAAAAGCAACAAUUUGUACUCCUGACUAGAUCCUUUUGGAAAGAAUUUCCAGAGUGUUUAAAACAUAAUCAUUAUUGGCUGGAUGCGAUUCUCUUAAAAAUAACUGUAAACUUUAAAUAAUUGUCUAUUAAGGUAAUCUUCCUAUUUCUACUAUUCAAUGUGAUUGUUGUAUCUGUUUUACUAAAGAAAAUAUCUUAUGUUGGAAACAAUGGAAGAUUGUAUAUAAUCAAUUCAAGUAGUUGAGACUUUAUGUAAUAUAUGUCAUUUAAUUUCCAUACUAUCAUUCUCAAACUUCAUUACUCUACAACAGCAAGAUAACAAAUGUCAAUUUUUUUUGUUUCUUUUAAAGGGGAGUGUGUCUAAAAUUUAUUACAUUCCUGGUUAAUUAUUUGGGACAACAUUUUCUCAUUAAAGCAAUUCUGUCUUUCCCCAACAAUUUCCCUGUAGUUUAGUGGAUUAAAAACAUCCUCUACAUUAGUACUUCUCAAAUCCUCCUGAGCAUACAAUUCUCCAGGGAUCUUGUUGCAAUACAGAUUCCUUUUACUAGGUCUGCAACAGACCCGAGAGUCUUUACUCUCUACAUUUUCCAGCUGAUGUAAGAUGCUGCUAUUGACCCCACAUUAAGUAGCUAGGCUCUAGAUCAUUUGAGGAAAAUAGAUAUGCAAGCCUAUACUCAUACUUUCAAAGAAUAUAUAUUCAUGUCCAUUUUCCAUAAUCAAAUUCUCUUUGAAGAAAUAAAAGGCAAAAAGUAAAUAACAUAAAGCCGUAAAAUUUAUGUUCUUAAUUUGCUACAAAUAUAGCACUGUAAAAUAUGUAGAGAAUUAUUUCUGCCAUGAGUUUUAUCUACACCUAGUGCAGAAGAAGAGCAUGGAUUUAUAGCAGUCAGGAAAUGACAUUUCUCUUCUAGAUUUUCCCCUUGAUUUUACCAGGUGAGGGAGAUCCAUUUGUCAACAGUAAAGCAAAGAAUGACAAUCUCUUGCUUGACCAAAUACAAGAAAAUCUUAUAAAAAAGUUCAUUAUGAAAUUCAGAAUUUUGGGUGACUCCAUGGACUGAAGAUUAUAAACCUGAGGUGAAAAAUGGCACCCGGUUCCUUCACUUCCUGUCUAGAACUCUUUCUCAAACUGUGCUCGGCGAGAUUCUGCCCUUACUAUGGACUUCCUGUUUCUCCUUGAUUAUUGGGGUCUUAGUAAAGGGGGGAGGAUCAUUGUAAAAGAGAGUCACAUAAGUUGUCGAAUUUGAGCAUGCCAAGUGAUUUUUGUCUGACUCUCUUUUGGUCAUAAAUUUUUGGUAUGGCUAUUGUGAAAUAUAGUGUCAUAAAUUUGUCAUAAGCCAUUAAUGAAGGAAGAGAAGCAGAAAUUUAGUUCUGUGGGAAUGCACUCAAAUAUGAAGCAGAUGGUGUUCUACAACAUUUAUUUUGGAAAAUGUGUAUCUGUUACAUAAUUGAAAAUAUGUCUUUUUCACAUUUAAAAAUAUUUGGGUCAUGAUUUAGAGUUUUUAUUGGAUUGUUUUUUAAACUGAGAGGAAGAAGAAAGGUAACUGUAUUUUAAAACAUAUUUGACAUGUUACUAAUAAAAUUUUAUUUCU